UGUCUGCGCGACGCCCUCCGGAAACGCUUCCCCCCCCAGAGAAAAGUGACCUGUCACCUGUCUGACUCCUCACAGGGCUGCGGCUGGUGAGGGCCCAGCCUGAGUCUGGGUCAUGGUGGUAUCUCCAGGCCCUAGUACAGUGCCUGGCACUCAUUCAAUAUUUGUGAAUAAAUUUCUUCUGUUGCUGGCCUGGAUUUCCUGCCCAAGCUUUCCUGUUGGUCAACGGGUCUAAAGAAAGGAGCCGGAUCUUUCGUCAGCUGGGAAGGUCCUGCAAGGUUGUUGGGCACAUGCUGAUGGAUGACCAGUGAGAGGUCCGUGUGCCAGCUCUGAGCCCAGCCUCCCACACCCCCUCACUGCUGGGGGAACUCAGAAGGCUGGGAUGGCCCAUCCGCCCUGCUCUUCUCCAUGGGACCUGACGCUGGUGAGCUGAGCACAGGGCCCCCGCGUCACAUGAGGAAGCCUAAGGGUUGCUGAGUAGACAAAGAGGAAAUAAGCCUCCCCAGAGCUCCGGGUUCGCGGCCCUCGCCUCCGCCCUCCACCCGCCCGGCGGAGAGCUGCCCGUCCUCGCCCCCACCCGCUGGUCACCGACUUCCCGGGAAGUUGAGCCCAGAGAGGAGGAAAUGGCCAGUGACAUGGCCAGCAUUUGAACUCAGUUCUCUGCCUCCGACUGUGGUCUCUUGCCUUCACCUCUGCUCUCUCUCAGCCUGCUCUCGCCACGCCCAGGCCCGGGUCUGCGCUCCGGGCAGACGCCAUCCCCCAGUUCCAGAAUGUGUCGCCUCCAGGCCUGCGCUCGGCCCGUUCCUCCGCCCGGAUCGCCGCCCUCCUCCUCCUGUUUGCGGCGUGAACUCCAUUCCUCCAGAUCCGGCUGAAAGGCAGCUCCCUCGAGAAGUUUUUCUGGACUCCCACCUGCAUCCAAAUAAAGGGGCGGAUUCCUCUUUCCUGCCUGGCGUGAAGAUUGCCUCCCGCGUGUGUUAAACACGUAAAUGGGGUUCGCCAGUCUCUCUCCCUCUUAAUCGCUUAUGACCUCCCUGGGCAUCCCCCCGCCGCUGCCAAAACUCGGCGGGUGGGGCGGGCCCGCAGUUGCGCGUGUUUUGCGCAGAGUGCCGGCGCGAGCGAGCGCUCAGCGGACGCGGGUGAGGUCCGCGCCGCCCCGCGCGCUGGGUCCCGUCCGUGUCCUUCACGGCGAUCGUUGUCUUCGCCGGGCUGCGAGCCUCGGGGGCGACUGUCCUCUGCAGGAAUCAGGGAGCCUCUGCUGGCUUUCCAGGCGGAGAGUUUCUUGAUCCACAGGCAGCACAGAGACUUGCUCACGGACUGAAGUUGUGGGCCGCCCGGUGUCCAGGCCCGCGCCUUUGGCGUCUGUCCCUGGAAGGGCUUCGUGUUACACAGAGGAGGCUGGGGAGGAGAAGCGCUUUGCCUUCAUUCUGUUUAUUCAAGAACGUUGCCCGCUGCUGCCUAGGAGCUGUUCUGGGCACCAGCGCUGUAGCAACGAGCGAAGCGGAGAAAACAUGGCUCGUGGCGUUUUCAUUCCCCUGCGGGAUAUGGACAAUCAAUAAAGAAAUAAAUCUAUCAGUCCAGAUGGUAAUAGAUAUUAUGAAGAAAGAGCAGGGACCACCACAGACCCAGAGGAGCACGGGCAGACUCCUUUAGACUCAAGGUGAAGAAGGGCUGCUCGAAGAAGCCGCGUCUGGAGAGCUGUGAAUGGGAAGUGUGUUCCAGGCAGAGGGGCAGCAUUUGCAAAGGCCCUGAGGUGGAAACAAGCUGGGUGCCUAGAGGAACAGCAAGGUGGCUGGAGAGGCAGCAUGGAUAGUGCCUGCGCUGGGUCCCAGGUGGUGCUCUGUGGCCCCUGCUGGGGUCAGAGGAGAAUUUGGAGGUUCUGGAGAAGCUUCCAGCCGGCUGCUCUGUUGUUCUCUGAAUGCAGACCGUGGUGGAGCCCUGUCUUGGCCCGCAGCCGUUAGGAUAUUUCUCAGGGAAAGCCCUUGGACCAAGAAGUCUGUUUUUUCUUUGGAAACUAUGAGACUCUCUGCAAAAACAAAGGAAUUUGGAUUCUGUUCAGGAAAAAUGUAACCUACAAACAAAUAGCCUUGGAAAAUCUGUGCCUCCCCCUCGGUGCCUGGGUCAGGCACAGGGACAGCCCCACCCCCGGGCUGCUUUCGAGCUGGAGGCCACCUCCUUUUUCCUCUUCUGUGUGUUGUCUCUGGCUGCCCAGAGGGCAGUGCCUCCUCUCCAUGCCUUCCCCUGCCCUGCCGCCCAGGGCCCCUGUCUCUGCAGUGCCCUUGAUCUGGUUGGAAUGCUCUUCCCUUCCCUGGCUGCAACCCUUCCUCAUUCUUUAAGACCCAGUUCCAAUGUCUCCCCUCCGGUUCUGAGUUCCCCAGGUGGCUAGUUGCUCUGCUAUUAUGUUGCUCUGAAUAAUUUCAAAUUUAAAUAUACUUCCCUUUUCUUUCAGAUAGCAAUCCCUGAUUUUAUUCUUUUAAGAAAUAUGGUAAUAAUACUGACUGCCACUCUUAAACUCCUGCUAUGUGCCAAGCGGGGUUGUACAUUAUGGUACCCACUGCAUGCGCAAAGUGAUUAGGAAAAAACUGGCACAUAGUGAGGAGUCAGUAAAAGUUACUUCUUAUUAUCCUUAUUUUAUCUUAAUUCUCGCAUAGCACUUGCAGCAAGUAAGAUUUGUCAUGCACAUUAUGAUGAUCGGGUUCCUCGUCUGUGAGCUCCUUGACGGUGGGGACUGUGUCUUCUUGCUUGUCCAAGUCUGUGGACGUGCAAAGGGUGUUUGGUGAGUGAACAUUUAGCCAUUGAAACUGAUGACUGAGUGCCGAGAUUUACUUCGUGAGUUUCCAAAUCAACUGAGAGUGGCUUUGGCCUUAAGAAUAGAUAUGGGGACUCAGAAGAUCUGGGCUUAAUUCUAUUCCAGCUACCUGCUAGCUUUGUGACCUUGGGUACAUCAGCCAAUCUUUUCUGAACCCAAAAACCUAUUUUUCAAAAUGGGUGUCAUAGUCCCUAACUUGCCUUCCUCACAGGUUUUCCUUGAGCGUCAGAUGAGCUCACACAUAGGAGAGUUUUGUGAAUUGUAAAGUAUUUUACACACGUGAGACAUUAUUGUUGGAAUCAUUUUGGACCCAGUGCCAUCACCACCAAACGUGGCAGAAUAUGAGCCCUCGGGUAGCUCUAGCUGGACAAAUAGCAAUGUGCUGCUUUUGGUUUUCACAGUGUUUAAAAAUGUAGUCCCGUAAUGUUUGUAACCGGUGUUUCUUCUCCUCAAAGCAUGCAUCCAAGGUAUUAGUCUCAGUCCUUUUAAAGGUUUUAAAAAGGGCCUUGAUUUUCCUGCUUGGCUGCUGUAAAAUCUAUAACCCUGAAUGUCACGGUGACGUUCUCUCUCAGGAAACGUCCGCAAGAAUUGUAACUGAACAAAAACAGUAUUUAUUUUCCUUUUUAAUUCAAGAAGCUAAAUGCUAGGGAGUAGAAGGAGAGAUGAGAAGAAGUGUGUAAGAGAUGGGCUUGCUCUCAGGGAGCUCACAGGCUGGUUUGGGAGCCGGAUCUGGGUCCUAGGCUUGUGGGCAAAGGACGUGAUCUGAGGAAGGAGAGAUCCGCUGCGUUGAGGUGGUCUGUGAAGGUUGCAGGGAGAAAGCGGGCCUGUGUUAAGCUUAAAGGAAGACCAUUGUUUGGACCACGACCCUGGGAGCAUAAUUCAUAAGCCAGGGCCCGGCCGCUGACUACUGCUGCUCUCACUUCCCCUUUCAGCAGGAUUGUGAUGUCUUUAGUUCUUGGGGGCUCAGGAGGAAGACAUGAGGAUGUUCUAGACAUGCACUCACGGACAAACGUCUGAAUCCAAAAAACUAAUAUUUUGUGACUGAUGCUUUCAUGAUGAGGAAAUAAAAACUCCUUACUUUUUUUUAAAAAAAUGUUUUGGCCGUGAUGUACUUGGCUUAAAACAUGUCAGAAAGAAAGCCAUUUAUAGAGAAUCGUAAUACUCUAACUUCAGCAUAACGCUAACAACAAAGGUGCCCCUGGAUCGCUAAGGUUAACACACACUGCUGAGAAUAUGGGAUGGCAGUAACAAGAACCCAAAGAAGGAAAUAUUAAAAAUACACAAUUAGGAACUAUUUAGGAAAGAAAGUGAGAACACCAGGUCUGGAAAUGUAUACAACACAGCCAAAGCCGUAGUCAGAGGUAAAUUCAAAGCAUUAAUGCUAUCACUUAAGAAUAAGAAUAAAUGAAAAGAAAGCAACUACACGUCUAACUUAAGAAUUUAGAAAAUGGGGGCCGGCCCGGUGUCGCAGCGGUUAAGUUCACACGUUCUGAUUCUCGGUGGCCCGGGGUUCACUGGUUCGGAUCCUGGAUGCGGACAUGGCGCCGCUUGGCACGCCAUGCUGAGGUAGGCGUCCCACGUAUAAAGUAGAAGGAGAUGGGCAUGAUGUUAGCUCAGGGCCAGGCUUCCUCAGCAAAAAAGAGGAGGACUGCCAGUAGUUAGCUCAGGGCUAAUCUUCCUCAAAGAAAUAAAUAAAUAAAAGAAUUUAGAAAAUGGGCAGCAAAACAAGACCAAGAAAAGCAAGACAAUAAAAAAUACAAGGAUGAUAAGUGAAUUAGAAAAUCAACAAAGUAGGAGAAUUCGUAAAUAAAUCCAUAAGAUGGUUCUUUGGAGGGCAACUUAAAAUAGGAAAACCUCUAGAAAAUCUGCUUAAGAGAAAAAAAUCAAAUAACUGAUAUCUGAAAAAUUUAUACUGUUUGUAAAGCAUGUCCCCAUUCCGUAUCACUCUUGGUCGCUAAGCUAAUCCUGUCUGUUAUAUAUUUGUAUCCCUAUUUUGCUAGUGAUCAAACUGAGAAUCAAACAAAUGAGGUUACUUUUUAGGGUCAUACAACUAGUGAGUAGUUAAAGCCAUGAUUUGAAGCAGGUCUGCUAACCUUGUUGAAUAUUCUUCCAAUCAUCCCAUGGCAUCCUCUCAGGAUGAAUUCAAGAAAGGAAGAGUGGAACAUUUAGCAUGUCUCCGUUGGUCUCCUGGGACCGCCGUAACACAUCACCACGCAUUCCUGCUGGCUUGGAGCAAUAGGAAUUUCUUCUGUCACAGUUCUGGAGCCUAGAAGUCCAAAACCAAGUUUUGAGCAGGGCCACGCUCCCUCUGAAGGCUCUCGGGGAGAGUCCUCGCUGUCUCUCCCAGCCUCUGGAGGUGGCCGUAGUCCUUGGUGUCCUCGACUUGCAGCUCUAGCAUCUAACUUCUGCCCCCAUCUUCCCAGGGUUUUCUCCCUCUGUGUCUUGACUUUGUCUCCAUCUGUGCAUAUGUCUCCUCUGUUUUCCCUUCUUGUAAGGAGUUAGUUUUCCAAAUCUACAAUUUUCCUUUCAGUAUAACCUCAUCUUAAUUGUGUCUGCUAUGACCCUAUUUCCAAAUAAAGUUACAUUCUGAGA
ensembl:lncRNA